GAUCCUGGCUAAGGAUGAACGCUAGCUACAGGCUUAACACAUGCAAGUCGAGGGGCAGCAUUUCAGUUUGCUUGCAAACUGGAGAUGGCGACCGGCGCACGGGUGAGUAACACGUAUCCAACCUGCCGAUAACUCGGGGAUAGCCUUUCGAAAGAAAGAUUAAUACCCGAUAGUAUAAUUAGACCGCAUGGUCUUAUUAUUAAAGAAUUUCGGUUAUCGAUGGGGAUGCGUUCCAUUAGGCAGUUGGUG
rnacentral:rRNA from 1 species